rnacentral:rRNA from 1 species
AUUGAACGCUGGCGGCAUGCUUUACACAUGCAAGUCGAACGGUAACAGGUUAAGCUGACGAGUGGCGAACGGGUGAGUAAUGCAUCGGAACGUGCCCGAUCGUGGGGGAUAACGCAGCGAAAGCUGCGCUAAUACCGCAUACGAUCUGAGGAUGAAAGCGGGGGACCGUAAGGCCUCGCGCGAUCGGAGCGGCCGACGUCAGAUUAGGUAGUUGGUGGGGUAAAGGCCCACCAAGCCGACGAUCUGUAGCUGGUCUGAUAGGACGACCAGCCACGCUGGGACUGAGACACUGCCCAGAUUCCUACGGGAGGCAGCAGUGGGUAAUUUUGGACAAUGGGCGAGAGCCUGAUCCAGCAAUGCCGCGUGCAGGAAGAAGGCCUUCGGGUUGUAAACUGCUCUUGUACGGAGCGAAAAGGUCCUUUCUAAUACAGGGGGCUCAUGACGGUACCGUAAGAAUAAGCACCGGCUAACUACGUGCCAGCCGCCGCCGUAA